rfam:Roseovarius nanhaiticus strain DSM 29590 genome assembly, contig: Ga0104494_101
UACCCGUCGCAACGGCUUCCUGGCGCGGCGGGAUUACAUAAUGGAGCG